GAACGCGUCCUUCGGGAUGAGUGGCAGACGGGUGAGUAACACGUGGGAACGUACCCUUUGGUUCGGAAUAACUCAGGGAAACUUGAGCUAAUACCGGAUACGCCCUUUUGGGGAAAGGUUUACUGCCGAAGGAUCGGCCCGCGUCUGAUUAGCUAGUUNGUGGGGUAACGGCCUACCAAGGCGACGAUCAGUAGCUGGUCUGAGAGGAUGAUCAGCCACACUGGGACUGAGACACGGCCCAGACUCCUACGGGAGGCAGCAGUGGAGAAUAUUGGACAAUGGGCGCAAGCCUGAUCCAGCCAUGCCGCGUGAGUGAUGAAGGCCUUAGGGUUGUAAAGCUCUUUUGUCCGGGACGAUAAUGACGGUACCGGAAGAAUAAGCCCCGGCUAACUUCGUGCCAGCAGCCGCGGUAAUACGAAGGGGGCUAGCGUUGCUCGGAAUCACUGGGCGUAAAGGGCGCGUAGGCGGCCAUUUAAGUCGGGGGUGAAAGCCUGUGGCUCAACCACAGAAUUGCCUUCGAUACUGGGUGGCUUGAGUCCGGAAGAGGUUGGUGGAACUGCGAGUGUAGAGGUGAAAUUCGUAGAUAUUCGCAAGAACACCGGUGGCGAAGGCGGCCAACUGGUCCG
rnacentral:rRNA from 1 species